rnacentral:rRNA from 1 species
AAGUCGUAACAAGGUUUCCGUAGGUGAACCUGCGGAAGGAUCAUUAACGAAUUACAGAGGGUUGAUGCUGGCAGUCCGACUGCAUUGUGCUCGCUCUCCAUAAUCCAUUUACACCUGUGCACUUUAAUUUCGAAGGGAGGGUAAAAUCUUGCCUUCGAAACUCACAAACUCUUGUUUGAAAUAAUAAUGUAUGUUUAUCUGCCGCAAGGCAAAAUUUAAUACAACUUUUAACAACGGAUCUCUUGGCUCUCGCAUCGAUGAAGAACGCAGCGAAAUGCGAUAAGUAAUGUGAAUUGCAGAAUUCAGUGAAUCAUCGAAUCUUUGAACGCACCUUGCGCUCUCUGGUAUUCCGGAGAGCACGUCUGUUCGAGUGUCAUGAAACUCUCAAACAAAGAUGGCUUUGUUGCUGUCUUUGUUUGGAUUUGGACCUUGCUGUGUCAAUGCGGCUGGUCUUAAAUAUAUUAGCUGGUCCUCACGAAAGGUUUGGUUCUACUCAGCGUGAUAAUUAUCUAACGUUGAGGACGGUCUUAGGACUGGCCAGAUCUAUCUUUGGAUUGCUUCUAAUUGUCCUUAGGGACAAAUUAUUCAAUAUCCGACCUCGAAUCAGGUGGGACUACCCGCUGAACUUAAGCAUAUCGAUAAGCGGAGGAAAAGAAACUAACAAGGAUUCCCCUAGUAACGGCGAGUGAAGCGGGAUGAGCUCAAAUUUAAAAUCUGGUAGUCUUUCGGCUGCCCGAGUUGUAAUCUAGAGAAGCGUUUUCUGUGCUGGACUGUGUAAAAGUUUCCUGGAUACGGAACAUCAUAGAGGGUGAGAAUCCCGUCCUUGACACAGACUCCCAGUACUUUAUGAUGCGCUCUCAACGAGUCGAGUUGUUUGGGAUUGCAGCUCAAAAUGGGAGGUAAAUUCCUUCUAAAGCUAAAUAUUGGCGAGAGACCGAUAGCGAACAAGUACCGUGAGGGAAAGAUGAAAAGCACUUUGGAAAGAGAGUUAAACAGUACGUGAAAUUGUUAAAAGGGAAACGAUUGAAGUCAGUCGCGUCUACUUGGACUCAGCCUUGCUUCGGCUUGGUGCAUUUCCUUGUGGACGGGCCAGCAUCCAUGUUGAUCGCUGGAAAAGGUACGGGGGAAUGUGGCUCUUUCGGGAGUGUUAUAGCCCCAGUUCACAUACAGUGAUUGAUAUGGAGUGGUACAGCAUGCUUCGGCGGUGCUUGUGCUGGCAUAAUGGCUUUAAACGACC